GAUGAACGCUAGCUACAGGCUUAACACAUGCAAGUCGAGGGGCAGCAUUAGGUAGUAAUACUGAGAUGGCGACCGGCGCACGGGUGCGUAACGCGUAUCCAACCUUCCCGUUACUCUUGGAUAGCCUUCCGAAAGGGAGAUUAAUACAUGAUGGUGUUGAAAUUCCGCAUGUUAUUUCAACUAAAGAUUUAUCGGUAACGGAUGGGGAUGCGUGACAUUAGAUAGAUGGCGGGGUAACGGCCCACCAUGUCCACGAUGUCUAGGGGUUCUGAGAGGAAGGUCCCCCACACUGGAACUGAGACACGGUCCAGACUCCUACGGGAGGCAGCAGUGAGGAAUAUUGGUCAAUGGCCGGAAGGCUGAACCAGCCAAGUAGCGUGAAGGAUGAAGGUUCUAUGGAUUGUAAACUUCUUUUAUACGGGAAUAAACCUCCACGUGUGGGAGCUUGUAUGUACCGUAUGAAUAAGCAUCGGCUAACUCCGUG
rnacentral:rRNA from 1 species